UUCUUUUCCUAUUUUAGCCUCUGAUCCUACCUCAUUUUCACUAGCAUUCACUACGUUAGACAUCUAAUCACCACCAACCUCCUUGGUGAAAAUCAAAAUAAAGAAGUCAUUAAGCACCUCUGCCAUUUCCACAUUUUAUGUUAUUAGAACAGGAGUCCUU